ACGCUCGACACCUACGGGAUGCAGCAGUGGGGAAUAUUGCACAAUGGGGGAAACCCUGAUGCAGCGACGCCGCGUGAAGGAAGAAGUAUCUCGGUAUGUAAACUUCUAUCAGCAGGGAAGAAAGUGACGGUACCUGACUAAGAAGCCCCGGCUAACUACGUGCCAGCAGCCGCGGUAAUCUGAGCGGGCUGGCAAGGC
rnacentral:rRNA from 1 species